rnacentral:rRNA from 1 species
GGGCUCACACAAGCGGUGGAGGAUGUGGCUUAAUUCGAGGCUACGCGAAGAACCUUACCUAGGCUUAACAUGUUUGGGAAUCUCUAUGAAAGUAGAGAGUGCCUUUCGGGGAACCCUUACGUAGGUGCUGCAUGGCUGUCGUCAGCUCGUGUCGUGAGAUGUCGGGUUAAGUCCCUUAACGAGCGAAACCCUUGUCCCUAGUUGCCAGCGAGUUAUGUCGGGGACUCUAGGGAGACUGCCGGUGUUAAACCGGAGGAAGGUGGGGAUGACGUCAAGUCCUCAUGGCCUUUAUGCCUAGGGCUGCACACGUCCUACAAUGGUAUCUACAACAGGAAGCAAAACUGCGAAGUUAAGCAAAUCCCUAAAAGAUACCUCAGUUCGGAUUGCACUCUGCAACUCGAGUGCAUG